GAGAGGUGCUGCAUGGCUGUCGUCAGCUCGUGUUGUGAAAUGUUGGGUUAAGUCUCGCAACGAGCGCAACCCCUAUCGUCUGUUGCCAGCAUUAAGUUGGGCACUCUGACGAGACUGCCUGGGUUAACCAGGAGGAAGGUGGGGAUGACGUCAAGUCCUCAUGGCCCUUAUGUCUAGGGCUACACGUAAUACAAUGGCGCGUACAAAGGGAAGCGAACUCGCAAGGGGGAGCAAAUCUCAAAAAGCGCGUCUCAGUCCGGAUUGGAGUCUGCAACUCGACUCCAUGAAGUUGGAAUCGCUAGUA
rnacentral:rRNA from 1 species